GGGGGGCAUCUACAAGCUUAGAUGCUGGCCGAUACAAUCUUCCUAAAGUAACCUUGCACUUCAGCUUCUUGAAUAGUUGCACUGCGUGAAUCAGCUCUGCAAAUUGAAGAUGUAGUGCAUAUAUGA